GGGAAGGUGGCUCAGUGGUAGAGUGCUUGCCUUGCAUGCCUGAGGCCCUGGGUUCGAU
rnacentral:tRNA from 1 species